AGUAUACAAGCUGAAACAUGUCAUUUAAAUUUUUGAUUACAGGUAAAAACAAAACAAAAAAACUGCAGGAUUAACCGAUAUAUAAGCAAAUAAACGUAACUGAUGAGGAGCAAUUGGAUCUAUGUGACUAUCCUGGGGAUAGCAUGCCUGAUGAUUGGAGUCAAUGGGGACAAUACAACAAGUAGUAGCAACUCCACAGGAGGCUGGAUAUCUUCUAACAUGACCACGAACAUAACCCAGGCACUCCCACUCAGCAUGACCUCAAACCAAACCCAGACACGGCCUCCCAACAUAACCAACAUCCCGCCCCUAACACGGCCUCCUAACAUAACCACCACCCUGAACCAAACACGGCCUUCCAACAUAACCAACAUCCCGCCCCUAACACGGCCUCCUAACAUAACCACCACCCUGAACCAAACACAGCCUUCUAACAUAACCAACAUCCCGCCCCUAACACGGCCUCCUAACAUAACCACCACCCUGAACCAAACACGCCCUCUCAACAUAACCAACAUCCCGCCCCUAACACGGCCUCCAAACAUAACCACCACCCUGAACCAAACAAGGCCUUCCAACAUAACCAACAUCCCGCCCCUAACACGGCCUCCUAACAUAACCACCACCCUGAACCAAACACGCCCUCUCAACAUAACCAACAUCCCGCCCCUAACACGGCCUCCAAACAUAACCACCACCCUGAACCAAACACGGCCUUCCAACAUAACCAACAUCCCGCCCCUAACACGGCCUCCUAACAUAACCACCACCCUGAACCAAACAGGGCCUUCCAACAUAACCAACAUCCCGCCCCUAACACGGCCUCCAAACAUAACCACCACCCUGAACCAAACAGGGCCUUCCAACAUAACCAACAUCCCGCCCCUAACACGGCCUCCAAACAUUACCACCCUGAACCAAACACGGCCUUCCAACAUAACCAACAUCCCGCCCCUAACACGGCCUCCAAACAUAACCACCACCCUGAACCAAACAUGGCCUUCCAACAUAACCAACAUCCCGCCCCUAACACGGCCUCCAAACAUAACCACCACCCUGAACCAAACAGGGCCUUCCAACAUAACCAACAUCCCGCCCCUAACACGGCCUCCAAACAUAACCACCACCCUGAACCAAACAGGGCCUUCCAACAUAACCAACAUCCCGCCCCUAACACGGCCUCCCAACAUAACCAACAACCUGAACCAAACAGGGCCUUCCAACAUAACCAACAUCCCGCCCCUAACACGGCCUCCAAACAUAACCACCACCCUGAACCAAACAGGGCCUUCCAACAUAACCAACAUCCCACCCCUAACACGGCCUCCAAACAUAACCACCACCCUGAACCAAACAGGGCCUUCCAACAUAACCAACAUCCCGCCCCUAACACGGCCUCCAAACAUAACCACCACCCUGAACCAAACACGGCCUUCCAACAUAACCAACAUCCCGCCCCUAACACGGCCUCCAAACAUAACCAACAACCUGAACCAAACAAUUUUUCCCAUCAUAACCACUAACUCAACCCAAACAAAGCCUCCCAACAUAACUAACUUGACCCAGGCACGGCCUUCCAACAUCACCACAAACCCAACCCAGUCAGGCCCCAUCACUGUAAUAAACAUUAUAACAAUGUCAAGUUCUAAUACUCAAUCAAUAGAAAUCACUGGCAGGGAUAACUGCAGGAGAGAUAGAGCAUGUUUCUCCGCUCCACCUUCCUGCAAUCCAGGUGCACAAGGUUCCUGCUAUUUCCUCUCCACAAGAGGAGUAAGCGGGAAUGCAAAUAAUUUUACUUUUGAGCUCAGUGGAGAGACAGAUGGUUACAUUGGAGCUGGCCUUUCUAGAGACACCAGUGGUCAGGGUGCCACCGUGUAUUCUUGCGCCAAUAUCAAUGGUGCACUGAAGUUGAUUCGUUCCACGCUGAACAAUCAAAUUCUGACUCAGGAUAACACAUUCAUCCCUGGAAGCUUCCGUGGCUCAGUGAUUGGCAAAAAGAUUCAAUGCAUUUUCAAUGCUGCAGGUCUCAGCAGCACAGCCCGUGCUGCAACCACAGAAACUUUUGUCUUCCUUUUAACAGGCAGUGUAUCAAAUGGUUCUCUUGAAUCUCCAGUCAGUAAACUAGCCACCAAUGGGUCAGUAGACUUAAGCAACCCUAACAGCACAGAUGUAUCAGUAAUAACCAGUACAAAUGCCACUGUAUCUAAUACCACAACAAUAUCAACAACUACCCCAUCUACGAACCUGACCCAGACGGUCCCUCCCAACAUGAAUGCCAAUGUGACCAAAAUGGGUCCGCUCAACACGACUAUGAACCUGACCCAGACGCGUCCUCCCAACGUCACCGCCAACAUGACCCAAAUGGGUCCCCUCAACACGACUGCGAACUUGACCCAGACGCGUCCUCCCAACAUUACUGCCAACAUGACCCAAAUGGGUCCCCUCAACACGACUGCAAACUUGACCCAGACGCGUCCUCCCAACAUUACUGCCAACAUGACCCAAAUGGGUCCCCUCAACACGACUGCGAACUUGACCCAGACGCGUCCUCCCAACACGACUGCCAACAUGACCCAAAUGGGUCCCCUCAACACGACUGCGAACUUGACCCAGACGCGUCCUCCCAACACGACUGCCAACAUGACCCAAAUGGGUCCCCUCAACACGACUGCGAACUUGACCCAGACGCGUCCUCCCAACAUAACCACAAACUUAACCCCAAAACCGUCAGGCUCUAAUACCUUGACCAACGGCAACACCAGUAAUCCACCAUUGGAAAUCACUGGCAGGGAUAACUGCAAGAGAGAUAGAGCAUGUUUCUCUGCUCCACCUUCCUGUAAUCCAGGGGAACGAGGAUCCUGCUAUUUCCUCUCCACAAGAGGAGUUAGUGGAAAUGCAGAUAAUUUAACUUUUGAGCUCAGUGGGGAGACAGAUGGUUACAUUGGAGCAGGCCUCUCUCGAGACAAAAGUGGUCAAGGAGCCACUGUCUAUUCUUGCGCCGCAGUCAAUAAUGAACUGAAGUUUUUCCGUUCCACACUCAACAAUCAAAUACUGACUCAGGAUGGCACAUUAAUUCCUGGAAGUUUCCGUGGUUCGAUGAUUGGAAAAAAGAUUCAGUGCAUUUUCACUGCUGCAGGUCUCAGUAGCACUGCCCGUGCUGCCACCACAGACAGUUUUGUCUUCUUUUUAACAGGAACCGUCUCAAAUGGUUCUCUGGAUUCUCCAGUGACUAGACUGGCCACCAAUGGGUCAGUGGACUUAAGCAACCCUAACAGCACAGAUGUUUCAGUAAUAACACCCAGUAUAAACACCACCACUACAUCCCCAAACACCACUGCAUCUAAUGUCACUGUAGCAUUAAACACCACUGCAUCUACUGCAUCCGGAGUAUCUACAGCUAAUAAUGGGACAACCAAUGAAAAGGUCACCAAAGACAACUGUAAGAAGGACAGGGCAUGUUUCUCUGCUCCAACUGACUGUGAUCCAUUCAGCUCAAGUAGCUGCUUCUUUGCCUCCACAAGAGGAGUGAACGGAAACUCUGACAAUCUCACUUUUGAGCUCAGUGGGGAUACACCUGGUUACAUUGCAGUUGGCUUGUCUCGAGACAAGAAGGGUGAUAGUGACACAGUCUAUUCUUGUGUCAACGACAAUGGUGUGGCGAGGUUCAUCCGUGCCACGCUGAAUAAUACCAUUCUGACUCCGGAUAAGUCUUUUAACCCCGGAUCCUUCCGUGGCUCUGUGAACGGCACUAGGAUUCAGUGCAUUUUUGUAGCUGCGGGUCUCAGCAGCACUGCCCGUGCGGCAAAUACAAGUGCUUUCCUCUAUAUCUUAACUGGCAACUAUACAAACGGCACCCUAGGGUCGCCAGUCACACGACUGUCUACAAAUUCACAGGUUGACCUAACCAACACUAACAGCUCAGAUGUCAUAACACCCACUACUGUGGUUUCUACUACAGCAAAACCUGCUACAACAGCAGGGAGCAAUGCACUGCAUCACGCUGCAUCUCAGGCUGCUCUGCUAAUUCUCUCAGGGAUCCUUGCAGUCUUCCUGUUGUAAGGAUACUGCCAACACAUCAUUUAAUUUCUGAAAUUGGGCAAUGAGCACUGAACGCUUGAUGAACCCAACACUGAAGUAGAUGUAACUGUGCAAUAUUGGGACUUUGAGAACAGUGAAGAAAAGAGCUGAAAAUGUUGGGAAGAGGGCAAUACACCAUUUUUGUGACCUGUGUGUAUGUGGGAGAGAGGUUGUGUUUGAGAGUGUUUUUGUGAGCAUUAGUGUUCAUAUUCUAAUAAUGUACUGCUAGGUUCCUUCACAGAGAGGGCCGAUAAAAAAAUUAAUAAAACAAUAAAAUGAAAUGGUCUAUUUAAUUUAAUUGUGCCAGUAUGAUGCCACCAAGUGGCUGAAAUUAUUAAAGAUUAUUCUUUUUAAAUGUCUUAAUUUAUAUUUGCAACUGUUGCCUCAAAACUACUGUUCCCUGUAAGUUUUAAAGUCACAUGUAUAUUUUUAUUUGAAGAAAAAGAAUAUGUAAUAAAAUGUUCAUGUAAACAAUGAAACUCCCAGAUCUGUGUCUCUCUCUCUCUCUGUCUGUGUGUAUUUUCACCAGUAUAAAUAAAGGUUUAAGGCAAGCAUAGACCAAAGCUAAAUGCAAACAGUAUGUAAAGUUAGGAGAGUGAAAGGAGAGUGCAUUGGAGAACUUUGUUGAUGUCAAAUGGUUGCAAAUUCAAACAAGCAGGGGUAUGUUUCCCAAAAGCAACCAUGGAUGCAAGUUCCUUCAUUACGAAUAGAGCUCAGUGGAACUUUCAAACAUAGGUGACACUAUAUGUAGUGCAAGUGACAGAACUUGAUAUUGUCAAUGCUUUUGAAGCAGAGGCUCCUCUGUUACUGCUACACUGCUAGCAAUUGAUGUCAUUUUACAAUAUAUUUUACAACAAUACACUGUAUUCAUGGUUUUUAUUGUAAAUGCAAAUGCAUGAUGGGAAAUUGAUGGACAGUCCUGUAAUAUUAUUGUAACUACACUGUAGAAGCAUUAUUUUACAGACACCACAAAGCAUUGUGGGAUAGCAUUAAAACUGUUACUUUCAAAUUCUUUCUAACAUAAAAAGUCCAGUUUUCUUAACAUUAAAAUAAACUUUUUAAAAGGUAUGAUGUUUCUCAAACAUUCUUUCAACUUAAUUUUGAUUUAAAAAUUCAACAUUCUAGGAACGUUGAUUUGUAACAUUCCAAGAACAUAAAAAGGUCCAGUUUCCAUAUUAGUAUAAUGUUACUUUAAGGUUAGUAAAAUGUUCCUGCAACAUUCUCUCAGUCAUUCAAACACCUGCUGUGAUCAAGCAAGAAAAAAAGAGAAAUAAGAACACAAACUGCAACUUUCUUCAGGCACAGUCUUAGGUGAACUGAAGAUACAAGACUUUAAAUCUCUCAAGAUCUGAAUAAACAACUCCACAAACAGCGUUACCAACUUCACUUGUAGUAAUACUAACCAGAAUGAUUUUAUUUCUGUCAUGCAUCUACAGAAGUUCUUAUUGAGUAUUCACAGAAGUUAAGAUGUUGAUGUCUUAAUUAAAAUGUUUUUUUGAGAUCACCAUCAUAGAGAUCAGGGUUUGCUUCAGUUGUGCUCUUGACCCUCAACUUUUGCUGCAAUCCUUUUUUCUGCAGAUGUUUUCAGAAAACAUUACUGCAUAUAUAAAGCAGAUCAACAAGUCUGUUUUAAUAACAACCAACUGACUGCACUAAAAUGGUUUAAAUGACCCAACUGAUAUAAAAAUCAAUCAUUUGAAACACUUGUGGUUGGUACACUGAUGUUUAACAGUGAAUAAAUAUUGUUUUUGCUAACCUUUUGUUAAAAACAUGUUUUAGAUUAUUUAUACACUCACACACAUCAACAUUUGGCAUACUAAACACAACAAUUGUGACAUGUUUCA
rnacentral:lncRNA from 1 species